CUAGAGGAAAAGUGGCGCAAUGGCCAAAUACAGAAAGAGAAGCGUUUGCAGGAACAAGAGGUAAAGUGGCGCAAGGUGCAAAGAGAGAAAAACAAGAAUUGCAGGAACUAGAGGAAAAGUGGCGCAAUGGCCAAAUACAGAAAGAGAAGCGUUUGCAGGAACUAGAGGUAAAGUGGCGCAAGGUGCAAAGAGAGAAAAACAAGAAUUGCAGGAACUAGAGGAAAAGUGGCGCAAUGGCCAAAUACAGAAAGAGAAGCGUUUGCAGGAACUAGAGGUAAAGUGGCGCAAGGUGCAAAGAGAGAAAAACAAGAAUUGCAGGAACUAGAGGAAAAGUGGCGCAAUGGCCAAAUACAGAAAGAGAAGCGUUUGCAGGAACUAGAGGUAAAGUGGCGCAAGGUGCAAAGAGAGAAAAACAAGAAUUGCAGGAACUAGAGGAAAAGUGGCGCAAUGGCCAAAUACAGAAAGAGAAGCGUUUGCAGGAACUAGAGGUAAAGUGGCGCAAGGUGCAAAGAGAGAAAAACAAGAAUUGCAGGAACUAGAGGAAAAGUGGCGCAAUGGCCAAAUACAGAAAGAGAAGCGUUUGCAGGUACUAGAGGUAAAGUGGCGGAAGGUGCAAAGAGAGAAAAACAAGAAUUGCAGGAACUAGAGGAAAAGUGGCGCAAUGGCCAAAUACAGAAAGAGAAGCGUUUGCAGGUACUAGAGGUAAAGUGGCGGAAGGUGCAAAGAGAGAAAAACAAGAAUUGCAGGAACUAGAGGAAAAGUGGCGCAAUGGCCAAAUACAGAAAGAGAAGCGUUUGCAGGAACUAGAGGUAAAGUGGCGCAAGGUGCAAAGAGAGAAAAACAAGAAUUGCAGGAACUAGAGGAAAAGUGGCGCAAUGGCCAAAUACAGAAAGAGAAGCGUUUGCAGGAACUAGAGGUAAAGUGGCGCAAGGUGCAAAGAGAGAAAAACAAGAAUUGCAGGAACUAGAGGUAAAGUGGCGCAAGGUGCAAAGAGAGAAAAACAAGAAUUGCAGGAACUAGAGGAAAAAUGGCGCAAGGUGCAAAGAAGAAAAAUAAGCGCUUGCAAGAACUAGAGGAAGAGUGCAGCAAGAAUCAAAUACAGAAAGAGAAGCGUUUGCAGGAACUAGAGGUAAAGUGGCGCAAGGUGCAAAGAGAGAAAAAUAAGAAUUGCAGGAACUAGAGGAAAAAUGGCGCAAGGUGCAAAGAAGAAAAAUAAGCGCUUGCAAGAACUAGAGGAAGAGUGCAGCAAGAAUCAAAUACAGAAAGAGAAGCGUUUGCAGGAACUAGAGGAAAAGUGGCGCAAGGUGCAAAGAGAGAAAAACAAGAAUUGCAGGAACUAGAGGAAAAGUGGCGCAAGGUGCAAAGAGAGAAAAACAAGAAUUGCAGGAACUAGAGGUAAAGUGGCGCAAGGUGCAAAGAGAGAAAAACAAGAAUUGCAGGAACUAGAGGUAAAGUGGCGCAAGGUGCAAAGAGAGAAAAACAAGAAUUGCAGGAACUAGAGGAAAAGUGGCGCAAGGUGCAAAGAGAGAAAAACAAGAAUUGCAGGAACUAGAGGUAAAGUGGCGCAAGGUGCAAAGAGAGAAAAACAAGAAUUGCAGGAACUAGAGGUAAAGUGGCGCAAGGUGCAAAGAGAGAAAAACAAGAAUUGCAGGAACUAGAGGAAAAAUGGCGCAAGGUGCAAAGAAGAAAAAUAAGCGCUUGCAAGAACUAGAGGAAGAGUGCAGCAAGAAUCAAAUACAGAAAGAGAAGCGUUUGCAGGAACUAGAGGUAAAGUGGCGCAAGGUGCAAAGAGAGAAAAACAAGAAUUGCAGGAACUAGAGGAAAAGUGGCGCAAGGUGCAAAGAGAGAAAAACAAGAAUUGCAGGAACUAGAGGUAAAGUGGCGCAAGGUGCAAAGAGAGAAAAACAAGAAUUGCAGGAACUAGAGGAAAAGUGGCGCAAGGUGCAAAGAGAGAAAAACAAGAAUUGCAGGAACUAGAGGUAAAGUGGCGCAAGGUGCAAAGAGAGAAAAACAAGAAUUGCAGGAACUAGAGGAAAAAUGGCGCAAGGUGCAAAGAAGAAAAAUAAGCGCUUGCAAGAACUAGAGGAAGAGUGCAGCAAGAAUCAAAUACAGAAAGAGAAGCGUUUGCAGGAACUAGAGGUAAAGUGGCGCAAGGUGCAAAGAGAGAAAAACAAGAAUUGCAGGAACUAGAGGUAAAGUGGCGCAAGGUGCAAAGAGAGAAAAACAAGAAUUGCAGGAACUAGAGGAAAAAUGGCGCAAGGUGCAAAGAAGAAAAAUAAGCGCUUGCAAGAACUAGAGGAAGAGUGCAGCAAGAAUCAAAUUCAGAAAGAGAAGCGCUUGCAGGAACUAGAUGAAAAGUGGCGCGAAGAGUAAAUAGAGAAAGAGAAGCGCUUGCAGGAAGUAGAGGAAAAGUGGUGGAACGAGCAAAUAGAGAAAGGGAAGCGCUUGCAGGAACUAGAGGAAAAGGGCCCAAGGAGCAAAUAGAGAAAGAGAAGCGUUUACAGGAGCUAGAGGAAAGGUGGCGCAAGGAGCAAAUAGAGAAAGGCGAGCAUCUGCAGGAACUAGAGGAAAAGGGGCGCAAGGAACAAAUGGAGAAAGAGAAGUGCUUGCAGGAAGUAGAGGAAAAGUGGUGGAACGAGCAAAUAGAGAAAGGGAAGCGCUUCCAGGAACUAGAGGAAAAGGGCGCAAGGAGCAAAUAGAGAAAGAGAAGGGCUUGCAGGAACUAGAGGAAAUGUGGUGCAAUGAGAAAAUAAGAAAGAGAAGCGUUUACAGGAGCUAGAGGAAAAGUGGCGCAAGGAGCAAAUAGAGAAAGGCGAGCGUCUGCAGGAACUAGAGGAAAAGGGCGCAAGGAAGAAAUGGAGAAAGCGAAGUGCUUGCAGGAACUAGAGGAAAAGUGGCGCACAGGCCAAAUACAGAAAGAGAAGCGUUUGCAGGAACUAGAGGAAAAGUGGCGCAAGAUGCAAAGAGAGAAAAAUAAGAAUUGCAGGAACUAGAGGAAAAGUGGCGCACAGGCCAAAUACAGAAAGAGAAGCGUUUGCAGGAACUAGAGGAAAAGUGGCGCAAGAUGCAAAGAGAGAAAAAUAAGAAUUGCAGGAACUAGAGGAAAAGUGCAGCAAGAAUCAAAUACAGAAAGAGAAGGGCUUGCAGGGACUAGAGGAAAAGUGGCGCAAGAUGCAAAGAGAGAAAAAUAAGAAUUGCAGGAACUAGAGGAAAAGUGGCGCACAGGCCAAAUACAGAAAGAGAAGCGUUUGCAGGAACUAGAGGAAAAGUGGCGCAAGAUGCAAAGAGAGAAAAAUAAGAAUUGCAGGAACUAGAGGAAAAGUGCAGCAAGAAUCAAAUACAGAAAGAGAAGGGCUUGC